GCGCACCAGUCGCGAAACCUCCGCAAUGCGGGCAACCGCGACGGGGGACCCCAGUGCCGUGGCAUCGCCACGGCUUUUCCGGAGUGUAAAAAGCUCCGGGAAUAAGGGCUGGGCAAGGCCGGUGGCAGCCGCCGCGGUAAUACCGGCGGCCCGAGUGGUGGCCGCUAUUAUUGGGCCUAAAGCGUCCGUAGCCGGGCCUGUAAGUCCCUGGCGAAAUCCCACGGCUCAACCGUGGGGCUUGCUGGGGAUACUGCAGGCCUUGGGACCGGGAGAGGCCGGGGGUACCCCUGGGGUAGGGGUGAAAUCCUAUAAUCCCAGGGGACCGCCAGUGGCGAAGGCGCCCGGCUGGAACGGGUCCGACGGUGAGGGACGAAGGCCAGGGGAGCGAACCGGAUUAGAUACCCCCGUAGU
rnacentral:rRNA from 1 species